UACCAUGCUGAAUAUACCGGUUCUCGUUAGAUCACCGAAGUUAAGCAUCAUUGGGCGCGGUCAGUACUUGGGUGGGUGGCCACCUGGGAACACUGCGUGCCGUU
rnacentral:rRNA from 1 species